UUUCGCAAUGCCCGAAAGGGUGACGAAGCGACGCCGCGUGUGGGAAGAAGGCCUUCGGGUUGUAAACCACUGUCGGGAGUUAGGAAAUGCAGGUGCGUUAAUAGCGCACUUGCUUGACUAAGGCUCCAGAGGAAGCCACGGCUAACUCUGUGCCAGCAGCCGCGGUAAUACAGAGGCGGCAAGCGUUGUUCGGAAUUAUUGGGCGUAAAGAGCACGUAGGCGGCCUUGCAAGUCAGUUGUGAAAGCCUUCCGCUUAACGGAAGAACGGCAUCUGAUACUACAGGGCUUGAGUACGAGAGGGGAGAGUGGAACUUCUGGUGGAGCGGUGAAAUGCGUAGAUAUCAGAAGGAACGCCGGCGGCGAAAGCGACUCUCUGGUCCGAAACUGACGCUGAGUGUGCGAAAGCUAGGGGAGCAAACGGGAUUAGAUACCCCGGUAGUCCUAGCCGUAAACGAUGGGCACUAAGUAGAGGGGUUUU
rnacentral:rRNA from 1 species